rnacentral:rRNA from 1 species
GAAUUGAUCUUGGUCAGGAUUAACGCUGGCGGCGUGCCUAAUACAUGCAAGUCGGAUGGUAGCAAUACCAUGGCGAACGGGUGAGUAACACGUAGGUAACCUGUCAUUAAGACGAGAAUAACCAUUGGAAACGAUGGAUAAUGCUGGAUAGGAUAUUUAAGGGCAUCCUUGAAUAUUUAAAGAUUUAUCACUUAAUGAGGGGCCUGCGGCGCAUUAGCUAGUUGGAAGGUAAAAGCUUACCAAGGCGAUGAUGCGUAGCCGGACUGAGAGGUUGAACGGCCACAAUGGAACUGAGAACGGUCCAUACUCCUACGGGAGGCAGCAGUAGGGAAUUUUCGGCAAUGGGCGGAAGCCUGACCGAGCCAACGCCGCGUGAUCGAUGAAGUAUUUCGGUAUGUAAAGAUCUUUUAUUAGGGAAGAAAAGACAGAUUGACGGUACCUAAUGAAUAAGCUCCGGCUAACUACGUGCCAGCCGCCGC